CCCCCUUGCCGCCACCACCCCUUCCUUCUGCCCCGUGCCGGAUCCGCCUGCCGCCGCCACCGCCGCCGCUCUCCUCUGCCCCAUGCCGGACCCUACCUCCUGUCCUCUUCUUCCUCCCGCUACCCUCAUCCCUUCUUACCGCCGCCGAGUCCUCUCCUCUCCCCGUCGGCGCGAGUGCGUGGGUCGCGGCGUGCGGAGAGCGAGGAGGAGAGGACAGACGCGUGAGGAAGAGGAGGCCACGGCCGUCGGCUCCUCUCCCCGUCGGCGCCAGCACGCUGGUCGUGCCUCUCCCCGUUGGCUCCUCUCCUCUCCCCGCCGGCGCCAGUGCGCUGGUCGUGAGGCGUGAGGAGCGUACGGCCCGUUGCAGCCGCCGUGGGCGUGGUUGCGGAUCAGCGCAGGUCACCGCCGUGGGAGAGGUGUGUCGUGGUUCCGGAUUGGCGCAGGUCGUCGCCGCCGAAGAGAAAGGGUGGCCUGGUCUUGUGGUGCUUGUGGAGGAGCAGGGGUGGCCCUUCUCCUACAUCACCACAUCAAGUAGGAGGAGGAGGUCCUCGUCAUCCAUCACAACCGUCAGGGGCUUGCUGACACUGGAUCCAGUGGGGAGGAGAUCCUUUAGGCAUUUGAUUCUUGUGGGAUUCCCACGCAUCUUGCAAGAUAAACAUGCCAUUGUUUUUCACGCACACAUAUGCUUUGAUUUCUGAAUCAGGGCCGGAUAGUAAACUGCACCAUUCUAUAUUACGUUCCUAACCAAAGAUAUAUUGUUUGCUGAUACACUGGUCUUUAUUUGUUAGUUUUUACAGAAUAAAUGUAUCGUGGAUAACUAGCUUUGGGGCAUAUCCCUGCUAUCCUUUCAAAGAAAAACAUUGGUUUAAGUCUACACUUUAUUACGCAGAUGUAGCUUAACACCUUCAAAUUAUUAAUGUGUUCUCACUUUUCUUUAGGUGAUGGAUCAUCCUGAAAAACAGGUUGAGUGCAUCAGCUACUUCCAUGGCAAUGGAUUUAAGGAAUGCAAAUCAACGAGGCACAUUAUCUAACUCGUAUAAACUUAUCAUUGUUUUUACCUUUUCAUGCAGUUUUCCUUUACGAUUAUAGAUGACAUCUUAGCAGAAAGAAUAUAGUUGUGAAAUUUACUGCAAAUGUAAGCCUUGGAGUUUCAUAUUCACCUUGAAGUAUUCUUGAAAUGAAAGAUAGGCUUUGUUGGUUCCUCAGUUUGGAGAACUAGAGUUAUGGCGAUACAUAUUUGGGUAUUGAAACUAUCUGUGUUUGUGAUCAGCUCAUUUUUGUGUUGGAUGCUUAUUUAGCUAGCAGAGACGGCGCCAUCUCCGGCCGCCGGCGCUCUGCAGUGAUGCCUAAAACUGAGUUGUUGUUUAGGCCUCCUUCGGUUCGUAGAUAGGAAUAUCAUCCUGUAGGGAAAGAGACUUCAUUUGAUGCAUAUAUAUAUACUAUGCUGCAUACUUUGUAGAUUUGUAUGGUUCCUAAAUAUACGACAGUGUUUGAUUAAUUUUUGUUCCAGAAAGAAGUAUCUAUCCUGUUUAUAAGGAUCCAUAUUGCAGGAUAUCAAAAUUAGUCAUUACUCAAUGCAGCCAUAUAGAUGACUGCAAAGCAAAAUUUUCAUAUCCUAAACUAUGAUUAAUACAUAGUUAUGAGCAUUUUUUCCUGUUUUACCACAGAUUGCCAUGGUCCAUGUGUUGAAAUCUGAAAUUUUUGAAUAUAUACUACUGGGUUAGUUUUAUUGCGGUAGGAUUAACUGAAGCAUAACUUAAAUGUGGCAUGUCAUUGUAAGAAGAAUCAGCUUUUGAUUAGUAUUUUGAAAUAGGAUAAAAUGAUUCAUCCAUUGAACGCGAAGAGUUCCUACCGGUAUUUGUUGGAUGACGACAAAAAAUAACUUGGGCCGUUCUAGCCCUGUUCCAAACUUCACUCGUAGAGGGUUGAGGGCGGGUGGCAGACGUCCAACCUAGAGCGCUUCAUGUACUGCACCAUCCUGGACGUCAAGGCCCACAUUCUUCUGAGGUGACACUAUUGCACCUCUCAAACCUGGCACCUUAAAUGCUUUGUCGUGUUCAAUUUUCACUGUUGCACCUCUCAAACCUGGCACCUUAAAUGCUUUGUCGUGUUCAAUUUUGCUCAAGAGUUCUGACAGUUUAAGGAUCUGUCAUUGCUUGUAUCUGUUGUGCGUGACAUGACCUUCUAAUUACCGAAUUAGUGCUCAUUGUUCGAUCAUAGACAUGAAAUGUUGAAUAAUGGUAUAGUAUACAUGUAAUGUGUCCGCUCUAUUUCCCUCUUCUCUAUUUUAAGAAUUUUUUUUGCUGCCUGCAGAGAACGAAAUUUGUUUUCUGCUGACACUAUGCAUACUGCCUAAUAAAUACACACACCUGUUGAUCCCCUGUUUUCUUGCUGUUUGACAAAUAGUACAAGCAAAGCAAGUUCAGGUGCUAUUCUAUUUAGAAAUAGCUACACAACACAUAUCAUUUAGUUACUAUGAUCAUUGUGUGUCUCGCUAGAAAUUAAUACACAUACAGGCACAUAUAGAAUCAUAAACCGCACUUACUCCCAGUAUCUUCUUCCCUACGAGGUCGGAGGCGAGCUUCCUGGCGACGGCGGCGGCGCUGGAUUUUCUCAUGGGUUGGUGGUGUAUCUACCGCUGACCUCCGGCACAGAUACACCGACCUCCGGGGCCCCAGCCCCUCCGCCCCCGGCCUCACCUUUCCCGUGUCCGCCCUCGCCGAGCAUUGAAUCUGCCGGCCACCAGGUAACAGUCCCGAAAAGAAAGAGGACUAUGGACCUGAGUGGGAAUGGAGGCAGGAUAUUCUUCUGGAUGGCUAUGCUGAGGUGGUGGUUGGUUCGAUCCAUGGUGUACGCAAAAUCGGUCAGCAUGGUGGAGUUGUGCUGUGGGGAGGACACUGGUUUGGAGAUCUAGGCGACUAUCUGCGUGCUGGGUGGAUCAGUAGCCCACCUCGGGAUAGAGGCAAGCGGCGCUUCACGUGUGCCUCGCCAUGCCACAACAGUGGCGUUGACAAUGUUUAAUCCUAAGACCACUAUUUUUGUGUCUAUAUGCAGUGUUCACUUUGUCUAUAUCUUGGCAAUGUUUAAUCAUAAAACCACUAAUUCUGUGUCUAUAUGCAGUGUUCACUUCAUCUAUAUCAUAUUUAUUUUAUAUGGCAAAUCAUCUUUCGAAAUUAACCAAGCCUAACUACACAGUAGGAAUAUGGUGAAAACUAAUAUGAAACAACAACUUUUGUCACAUAUACCAAACCAAGGUUGCUUAUCAGUAAACACCUCAUUAUUUAGCAUAUGCUUUAGGGCCAAAUUAUGUUUCAUGUGCCAUUAUUAUUGCCUUUUUUAAUACAUUAUUUAAAUCCUUACGUGACACCAAUCUUAAACAGGUCCAUCUAUCAACGAUGUCGAGAAAGCUCUACCACAAGAAAGUGAUGACUCUGCCUGGUGUCACCGGCUUCAUGUUUUGCUCCUCCGUACCCAUAGACUAGAAGACUAGGGCUAUAUAGAUUGAUUUUUAAAACCAAUGUAAAUAAGUUGUUUUCGGCUAUCAUGCUACCUCGCAUUGUAAUAUAUAUUGCUAUGUAUGAACAUAUGCUACCCAAGUAUAUAUUUCCUUAUGCUUAAA